rnacentral:rRNA from 1 species
UACGUAGGGUGCAAGCGUUAAUCGGAAUACUGGGCGUAAAGCGUGCGCAGGCGGUCCGUUAAGACAGACUGUGAAAUCCCCGGGCUUAACCUGGGAACUGCAUUUGUGACUGGCGGACUCGAGUAGUGGCAGAGGGGGGUAGAAUUCCACGUGUAGCAGUGAAAUGCGUAGAGAUGUGGAGGAAUACCGAUGGCGAAGGCAGCCCCCUGGGCCAAUACUGACGCUCAUGCACGAAAGGCGUGGGGAGCAAA